UUCAUGCCCAGUGUGGGGCUUGAACUCAAGACUCUAAGAUCAAGAGUCACAUGCUUUACCAACUGAGCCAGCGAGGUGUCCCAUGCUUUUGGAUUAUAGUAAAUAAGAUAUAAAAUAAUGGCGUUCCCCAUAAUUAGGAUUUUGCUUGUGUUAGGACCCUAAAAAUCACCGGAGAUCACAUUAAGGAUGAAAAAGGAGACAGAGCUGCAUUUCGAGAACAAAGCAGAGAGCUUUUUUAUUCUGCUAAGGAAGAGGAAAGACAAUUGGAGUCUGGACCUAGGCAUGUUCUGCAAUCUAGAGAUCCUGCCGUGAGUUGGGGGGCCGGGGUUAGUCGUGAGAACACUCAGGACCCAUAUUGUGGAAGGUGAUUUCAGCCGCUCUAUCUGUGUAGGUGGGUAAAGUGUCCUAUGCUAUGCUUUUUAAUAAAAAGUCUCAUCUGUGAGGGGAGAUGUAAAUCCAAAGUGCUAAUUCUUUGUCAUCAAUAUCAAUCCCGUGACACUCUUUUACAAGAUCCGUGUUACUGAUUCAAUUUGGUUGACUUCCUUCAAACCUGCUGCAGUUUCAGUUGAGUGAAGCGUGAUUCACUUCCUGCCCUGGAGGGUGUAAACCAGCUCUCAGGGUUCAGCCUGGAAGGGGCCAAAGCCGUGGAGCGGGGAGGGGACGGCAACUUGCGUAGUGGUGGGAUGCAUGCCUGGGGGCAAGGGCUGCAGUUUCCAGCCUGACUCCAGGAGGAAUUGAAUCCUAGAGGCAUUUGGAGGCAUCCAAGAGGCAUUUGGCUCUAGAAGCAUUCCAACUGCAAAAAAUCAGUGUACUUUGUGUUCUUUAUGCAUCAGUUUCCGGUUCCCAAUCAAGGACUAUGCAGUAUGUGUCCAGGAUCAUCAAGAAAUGAACUUAUGCAUCUGUUCUUAAGUCUCGCACUUGCUUCUGAACAUCCCUGCAGAACUGGGGUCUGCCAGAGGAGACCCUGGUGUUGGUCUUUUGUGCUCAUUGACUUGUGUUAUGUGAACAUUUAUGGAUUCACGUGCAUGCCCAAAUAAAGAUUCUAAGAUAUUUUGUAGCUUUGCAUACUUGACUUGUUUAUGAAUAGUUUAUUGAGGGCAUUUCUUUUCUAGCCAUAGUUUUAUUUUAAAAGUGAAAAUUUAGAGUGAAAGCAUUUGUGUUAAUUAAGAGUGAACACUUGAGUUUCAGGAAAAGGAAAACUUGUCCUUUAAGACUUAAAAAUAAAAUGCAUUGUUAGGGGCUAUGAAUAACUCUAAAGUAGUGUUAACUCAUGUGGAAAUCUUGGCGGAAUAGAAUCUUUGGGUAGAAAGGUAAAUGAACUGAAAACAAAUUAUUUUACAUAUCUAUAUAGGACAAAUGUUUAACAGAAUUUCAGCAGCAUAAUUAGUACAUUGCAAUGAAAUGAGACAUCCUGAAUCUUGUCCUGUGGAAUGUUAUGGCUCUGUAGGAUAUAAGUUUGGGGCUUUUUAUUUAAACAGGACAAUUUGUUUAUGAGUUGUAUGAAGUAACAAUAUAUUUCACUGUUAAAAAUCUAGUGCAAGAAAAAUUGAGACUUUUUUUUUGAAACAAUUGGAAACUUUAAUACUAGAUGAGUGAUUUGAUGAUACUAAGGAAUUAUUAUUAAAUACUUUUUAGAUGUGAUACGGUUUUAUGGUUAUGUUUUUGCAAAAAGGCAGUAAUGUUUUGAGGUAUGUUCUGAAAUACUUACAGAUGUGAUAUGAUGACUGAGAUUUGCUUUGAUAUACUAUGUAAAGAGAAAGUGGGUAUCUUAGUCCACUUGGGUGGCUCUAACGAUUUAACCACAGACUGAGUGGUUUAUAAGCAGACAUUGAUUGCCCAGUUCUGGGGGGCUGGAAGUCUGAGACCAGAGUGCCAGCACGGUCAGGUGAGGGUUCUCUUCUGGAUCACAGAUAUCUUGUUGUAGUACCCUUACAUGGCCGAAAAGUCUAGGAUCUCCCUGGAGCCUCUUUGAUAAGGCACUAAUCACAUUAUCGUAAGCAUCUCUCAAAGGUCCUGCCUGCAAAUACCAUCAGCUGUGGGGGUGAGGGCACAAAUAUUCAGACUGUAAUACUGGAUAUGAGGUGUGUUGAAGCGGGAUAAACCAUGGUUUGAAGCUGGCAAUGGGGAUUCAUUACAUUAUUUUGACUAGGUAGGUAUAUUAGAAAUUUUUGUUGAUGAGUUUAAAAAAGGGAGAAAGAUACCCACAUAUACACAUAAAACUUACACUCUAGAAAUACACUGAUAUUUGGUCAAAGAUAGUCAAAGAAGGCUUCAAGGGAAAGAGGGGCCUAAAAUUAUCAGUGGUUUGAUGACAUUGUAAUUAUAUACAGCUACAUUCAGCUACAUGAUUUUAAAACCAAAUAAUGUUGUAGUUUUAUUUCAAUUAAGAUAAGCCUCUACUUAGGUCAAAGGAAAAGGAACACUUGCAGUUCUGGCAACAGUCCUUAAUUCAACAAAUACUUUUUCAAAGCCCCUCUGGGCCAGGUACUGUAGAGAUUGCUGAAAAGUCAAAGACUGUGGGUAUAGGCUUUGCACUAAUGGGAUAUGGGCCCUAAACUGUUACAGGAACACAGAAGUUGGAAUGAUUUAAUUAUAUUUUGUAGCUCACGGGGGGAGCCAGUAAGGAGUGUAUUAGGCAGGAGAAUGUAGGGAGCUGGCAUGUGAUCUGGGCCUUGAAGGAUGAGUAGGUCUUUAUAGGUGGAGGAGAUGGGGAAGCCCAUGGCAGGCAGAGGAAACAACCUGGUCAACAGCAUGAAGAUGGGAAGAUGGGUUCAGCUAGUAACAACAGGUUCAGUGUGAAAAACCAGGUAAAAUGAGGGAAGGUGCAGUGGAGGAUAGGGCAGCUACAAGAACAUGAAAGAUCCAAAAUGUGAGUACUCACCAACCUGGAGAGCACCAUCCCUGAGACCUGGUAGCCUGAAGUUGAGAUGGCACUUAUGACUUUGAUUUGAGGGGUUCUAGGUCUCCUAGCUGCGUUGUCACUUCACUUGGGCAGAGGGACCGGCAUUUAUGUACAGGUGGGGUUUGCUAAUAAACAGUCAACAAGACUCUCCACUCCUCUGCCAAACAGGUUGCUCCCAUGCUUUUAGGGAAGUUGUGGUUGCUUUCUUACUUUACGUGGAAUGAUCACUGGUGGGUUUGGAUGCCUGUCUUGGAGGUGCACCCUCAGUACUAUUUCCUGGAGUCCCUGAUUCUCUCAGACCAGUGGAGGGCUGUCUGAUUGACCUCACUGAAGAAUUAUUCCCCUACUGUUUGACCGUAGGGUCCACGACAAGAAGCUGGAAUUGCUUCUGAGCAGAGGUGGGUUUUUACAAUGAAAGCCAGUGGAGCUUCCCUCUCUUGCACAGUGAAGUCCCCUCCCUUGCACAGCCCUUUAUAGCGUUUUGCAGCACCCCCCAAAUUUUCAUAUAGUCAUGCUUUAUUUUAUAUUUGUAAUUUUAUUGUUAAAGAAUUAAAUAUUAUGAGCUUCAGGGCCCACAAAACCUGAAACUGGCCUUGCUUCUGAGCAUCUUGAAGAAAGUUCUUCGCUUUAUUUUUUCUUUCUGGAAUGAACAGAUAACAAUAUUUUCUCCCUCCCAGAUCAGUCACAGAUUACUAAGCAAUUCUAUGUAAAGUGGACCCAGAAGCUAUUUUCUGUGAAAGUGACAUGUGAUAAAUAAUUUGGUACCAACACAAGAGGGAUAGGUGGCCUUCCCUGGCUCCUUGUAGGUUCCCUGGGUAGGUAGGCACUACUGGUCUUAUGAGAAUAUUUGUUAAGUUUGACUCUGCCCAGGGCCGACCGGUUGGCAUGCUGUCCCUUGUCUCUACCAUCCUGUGCUAUUGCUUUGGAACUCUGAUAUCUGUGUUCUCACUUUUCUCCCCUCUCUGACCUGAAGCUGCCCCAUGGUUUUCAUAGCUCAGCUGUGUGUGACCAGGGCAAAGCCAGUUCUGAUGUCAGUGGAAAUGAGCACAUGACAAAGGCGUGCUAGGCUACUUUCUCCAGACUGACCAGACGUGUCUCCAUUUGAUAUUGAACAGACUGAUGCUUACUUUUGCAUUGCUUCUUUUCGUUUAUUUGCAUCAUGGUCUUGGAAACCAUCAAUUCAACAUUUGACCUUUAAAAAGAUGGAGUCUGACUUGGAGAAGAGGCUGCUUCCCGAGGUGGGGUAGGGAAAGUACAACGUAGGCCUGGGGCAUUGUGGAGAGCCAGAACGUUGUGGGAGCAGUCAAAGAAUUUUAAGGCCUGAGGAACCUGCCCAAUGGGUUCCCUCUGGCCAAACUUGGAGCGUUCGGAGCUCAAAAUAAAUACGGAAGUGGAUUAUAACCAAUUUAUAACCAAAAUAAGAAUCUAUAAGUCUGUACUGAUAUAGGAAUUGAAUGAAUAAUGAAGUGAGGGUGGGAGAGAAACAAAAGGUCUUAUUUAGUAGUCCCACUAAUAAAUAUAAAAGGAACCGUGGAAUUACAAAAUCAUCACUGUAUGCUGAGAGUGGUGUGUGAUAGUUUUAUGAGGAAGAGGAUAUUGAUAGAGUCUUGAAGUAUCUCCCCACAAAUUACUUAAUUAUAGAGCCAAUGUAGUGACUUCAUAUAAGAGAAAUCCAGUGGAUUUCACUUUACCAAAUAAUCCUAGUUAAUAUUGCCAAUAUAGAGACAAACCAAUAGCAGUGCCUCUUGAUAUGCUGCAGUGAGGACACAGACUUAUUUCUGUGUUAUUCUGAAGAAGAAUUCCUUGAAUAGAUCAUAAUGAAACAUGGAACAAACUGAGCCACAUUCUAUAAGGGAAUGUGCCCACGAUCUUUCAAAAUGUCAAGAAGACAAAGAAUUGCUAAGGAGGGCAAGGCGAGGCCUGGGACCUCAGAAACGGACAAGUUGAAGGGGCAAGACAACUACUUCCCUCUUUAUGUUGAUAGUGGAAGCUUCUGGUCUCCCCAAGAGGAGGUUUCCAAACCAGUGUUCAGGACUCUUCAAGUGAGAUGGAGUAGUAGAGAAGAUGUUUUUAAAUAAAGAUUACAGUAGACAUUCCAGAAAACUCUUACAAGUUGGACCUCCUACCACAGUGGGGGAGUGUAACAGAUAGGAAAUUUGCUGAUAGCAACUUGAGUUUUCCUGCUCUGUUCUAUCAAGAUGCUUAUAUUUAGCUGGCCCUUGUUAUGUAAGUGAUGUUUUUCAAAUUCUACUAUAGUGGGAGGGAACAAAGUAAGAUGACUAAAUGAAAUCCACAAAUGAUCACAUGAAAACAUUUCUUCGAUGUGUUUUAAGGUGGCAGAAUUGAUCUGAAUGUUCUGGUCAUGGGUUGGCCAUUUUGACUAGAGAUGACUCAACAUCCAUGUGUUUGUGUCUCCGUCUCUGGUGUCCUAUAGAAAAUAAUGCAGACUAUUGAAUUUUUGCAUUAGGAGCCUAAACCUCGGUGUCAUCUCAUACCUUCUUUUUCUAGCCACCUCUGAGGACUACAAAGGAGUAGUGAACUGAAGGGUGGUCAAGAGAAACAGAGAAAGUCCUGUCCACCAACCACCAAAUAAUUAAGGGGGCUGUGUUCAAGAGGCUUUUGGCUAAUGAGGCUUUCCAUGUUUGUUGUAUAAUGUAUAUAAUGCCAUGAUUAAUACAUGCUGUAGGGAAUGUUAGUUUCUAUAACUAUAAUGUUUUGACAGCUGGGUUAAAUGUUUUAUGACUGUGGUUUUUAGGAUUUAGCCUAAACAAAACAUUUCAGGUUCAUUCUGACAGGUGCACAAAUAAAAUCUCAGAAUUAAUUUUUUUAAAGAUUUUAUUUAUUUAUUUGAC